AUAAUUAUAAAUUGUAUCAAUUAUUGGUUUCCCGCCAUUUCGCAAAAAGUAAGAACAAAUUUCCCGCCCAAGGACAGCGGUAAAUGUGCGAAACUAUACUCCCUUUGCCAUUCGCUAGUGAUUUGUUAAAACAGAAAAGGGAAAAAUGAGUGGGCAAACUCGUAAGAAGAUUCAAAAGAAAUUGAAGAUAAGAGGAUACAGCUUGAAGACGGAUGGUCUUGAUGAGAUUCUCUCCUUCGUCAAUCGCUUCCAAGAUGCUGAAGAUGAGGCUAUCGACCUCCUCCUCGACCAGCUCGAUCACCA
rnacentral:lncRNA from 1 species